rnacentral:rRNA from 6 species
UAGGGUAGCUAUACUGAGAGUGCUCCACCUGAUCCCAUUCCGAACUCAGAAGUGAAAUCUCUCGAGGCCCAUGAUACCCAGCACCAUUUUCACAAUCAGAUUGCGGAAAUGGUGCUGGGGAAAGUAGGUAGCUGCCUUAC